rnacentral:rRNA from 1 species
GUAAGGAAUAUUGGUCAAUGGACGAAAGUCUGAACCAGCCAUGCCGCGUGGAGGAUGAAGGUCCUCUGGAUUGUAAACUUCUUUUAUUUGGGACGAAAAAAGAGAAUUCUUUCUCACUUGACGGUACCAGAUGAAUAAGCACCGGCUAACUCCGUGCCAGCAGCCGCGGUAAUACGGAGGGUGCAAGCGUUAUCCGGAUUCACUGGGUUUAAAGGGUGCGUAGGCGGGUAGGUAAGUCAGUGGUGAAAUCUUCGAGCUUAACUCGGAAACUGCCAUUGAUACUAUUUAUCUUGAAUAUUGUGGAGGUAAGCGGAAUAUGUCAUGUAGCGGUGAAAUGCUUAGAUAUGACAUAGAACACCUAUUGCGAAGGCAGCUUACUACGCAUAUAUUGACGCUGAGGCACGAAAGCGUGGGGAUCAAACAGG